rnacentral:sRNA from 1 species
UUUUCUUUUAUUUUGAAAAUAGUUAAUUAAGAGUGGGAUUGAUGGAUGGUUUAAUGCAAUAUGAGAACUUUAAUUUUUCGUCACUAACUUUUGUUAAUUGUUAAAUGAUAUUAAUUUAGAAUGACAUGUGGCACUCUCCAGUGUGAUGAUGUGUCAUUCAUAUGGAGAGAGUUGACCAACUUUCAUAUAUAUGAUUUGUGUCCAAGCAAGAUGUUUAUCAUGAUCAUUAAAAACGGUUAAUAUGAUUUUCCACAAACGGUCUAUCACAUUUUAAUGAUCCAUAUAAGCAGGAGUGAUCCGUCUUAUUGUGAUAAU